rnacentral:pre_miRNA from 1 species
GGCGACUUGCCCGGAAUCAAACAUGAUCAUGUGCUUCCGGAGCGAGUCGUCGAA